CUUUGUAUAAGUUAUUUUGUUUUGUUGUGGGUAAAAUUAUAUUAAAGUUGUGAUUUAAAAAUCACAUUUGCAAACCAAAUAAGCCUUUAGUUACUGUUUUUUUUUCUACGGUAAGAUGCCUCCUGUCUUUUCUCUAUUGCUUGGUGAAGCAAUAACUGUAGCUUUCUGCUGCAAUUUUAACGAAUGGAGUGAAAGAGUGAUCCGCCACUAGGUUCGUUGAGAGGACUCCUCAAUCGUAAAGUAAAUGGCAUAUUCUUCUUUUAUGUAUGUCGGUUCAAUUCAAAAUGUUUGCGUGUAACUGUUCGUUAUAAUGCCCGUGAGAAGCCUUCACCUUUUAACGGGUGGUAAGGUCUGCUUGAAAUUAAUGUAAUUUUCAUUACUUGUGCAAUAGUAUGCUUCAGGAACAAUCACCUUUUUUCUCUUUCGUCCGCAAGCUUUAGCAUCGUAAUGAUCAAAUUGAAAAGGCUAGAUUUGGUUGCAAAAGGUUUUGGGUAAUUGGAUCGUGUCAUUGCGAUCCUAUGAUCUUAGUCAUGUGUAGUCCAUUGAUAAUUCAGAUUGUUGGAAAUGAAUAUCUUUCAUGACUUUCGAACUUUCAGGGCCCAAAAUUUUCUUGCUCUGUUUGAUAGCUGCUGCUGCAAUUGGGUCUUGGAUUCUCCAAUGCCUAGCUUUUCUGGAGUUUUAAACAUAUGUUAUAUCUCAACCCAGAGCUCAGAUCCUUUUGUUUAUCCUCGUGGCUGGAUGUAGCAGGUAGCAUCUAACUAGUGUGACCGAAUAGAAGUUCUAGAAUCCCGUGAACUUUGAAUCAGCUGCAUCAAUUGGAGUUAUUUCACGUCAAGCGCACCUCUAUUAUCCUGGAAUUUUUUUAUUCGCUACUGAUGCUGUGAAAAUUUAAUAUGUGCAGUUUGUAAAAAUACAUCGUGCAACAUACGUAUCUCUAUAACUCCCUUCUUAUCCUUGUAUUUUCAAUAUAUCAUUGCAGGAUAAGAUAAUUUGUUGACUGAGCAGGGUGCUCUCUGGACUGCUUUCGGGAACGAUGUUAUAGUUUUUGAUUACUGAAGACGAAGGAGAUUAUGAGCACCUGGAAGGGAAUGGCGGGCAUAACAGCAAGCGCAGGAUGAUUAUCUAGCCAGUAGCUGUGGGUGCAAGAGGGGGCUAGCUCUGCAGUCUACACGACGAGGCCGAGGGCGUUCGCUUGCAGAGAUGUCCUCGCUGAGUUUCAUCGAAUGGUAGCAAGGUGUCAGAGACUCGGAGGGCGCUAUUCCGUAUAUUAUGGGAAUGGCUUGUAUAUACCCGUUCUUAUGAUCAAUCCAGUCAUCAAUAAUAAAACUUCUCUUCGUCAUUCAA